GCAAUCAGCAAUAAGCAGACAUUAGAGACUGAAGACAACACUAGAUACAUUUGUGCGAUGAAGUCACUCUUUUUUUUUUCUUUUAAGCAACUGAUUGAUUGUAGCAGUUUAAUUGUUAUAUGUGGACCAAGUGACAGUUAGUGGGAGGACAUUGUUAGCGGGGAAGAGGUGAGAUGGGAACUGGUUCUUAUUACACAGUCUUUAAGGAAGGUGCCCAGCUGGAAAGCACAUCCUAAAUAUACCUUCUUCCGCCCAGGAUUAUUUUUAUUAAAAAUUAGAAACUGAAAUUUGUGUUUCUACAAAGAGUAUUUCUUUUUUUUCUUUCUUUCUUUCUUUCUUUUUUUUUUUUUUUCGGUACCGGUGAUCGAACUCGGGUCCUUGCGCUUGCGCAGCAGGCAGCGAAACCACUGAGCUAAAUCCCUGGCCCCUACAAAGAGUAUUUCUGAAGUAUUGCUUCUGGUGGCUACAAGUUAUAUAAUCAUUUGUACUUUUCCUAUGACAGUCCCACAAUUGCACAGAAGGGAUUUUGGUGCAUUUAUUAGUAGCACCCAUUGUCACUCUCAAAAGUGUCCUCCUGUGGGCCAUGUGCUAUGAUCGUCCAACCUCUGACUUAAUAAUUAAUUAUUCCUUUUCCCCAAAUUUAGAUGUUAAUCAAAUUAAUACACUCUAAAAUACAAUAUUUUUAGCUAUGUAAUCUGGAUACAACCUUUAAUUAACUAUCUGAUCACAGGCAUGUUACAUUAACUCUAAAUUUUCCUCAGGGUGAUUAUAACAGAAACUCAAGAAUAGGUAAGAAGCUCAGAUUAGUGAAAUAACACAUAUUAUCACAGGAGCUUGAGUUUGCCUCUUACCAUUCCAUAACUUUGACCACCAUGCUAUACUGUCUGUUUUUACCAUUUUACCACAUCUGUGUGUCAUACCAAUCAAUUUGGAGUUGAUCUCCUCACCUUAAAUUAAACAGAUCACAAUGAGGCUCAUAACCACUUCCCCUAAACAGUGUCCCAAUUCAAAUACCCUGUUGUCCAGAGGCAUGCCAUCAUUUUAUCAGUCUUUAAAGUUAGUGUGACUUUAGGGGGCUCUUUGGCAAGCCUCUCUUCAAUGUCCAUAUCAAAUUGCAUAUCUGGUUCUAUUUAUUCUUUAGAUCAUUUAUCAGAUUCACCUCUUUCUUAUCAUUCAUACCACAACUCUGUUCCAAGACUCACCUGCUCUCACCUGGACAGCAAGAGCUUCUAGUUCAGAUACGUGAAUAUAGUCUAAAUACACUACUUCUGAACAGGAUUGCCUGUGUUCAAAGCCUAUCUUAAUUUUGACUGUUGAACUGUUGAAUACAAUGUGUUGAACACAUUUCUUUUUCGGUUUUUGCAUCAUAUUUCUGUUUUAUAAAAUAGAGUAUCUACUUUGUAUCGCAGAGGAUGAAAUGAAUUACUGUGAAGUGUAUAGCCAGAGAUCUAGCAGCUGGUAAGUAGGGUGCAGGUGUUAUUACUAUCAGCAUUAGAGGAUGCAUUGGCAUUAGAGGAGCAGUGGCAGAUCACAUCAGAGAUGUGGCAGAGUAGACUAUCGCUGUGGAUUGGAGGACAUAGAAGGCUUUGCAUGACUUUCUCAACACUAAGCAACCAUCAGUUGUCUUUUUUUCCCCAGCAUUCUUCAGUGUUGCAGUAUGAUAUUAGCAUAUAGCAAGUCCUCAAUAAGUACUUAUUGACAUUCCUUAAACAAUUGACAUUUCUUAAACCAUCACUAUCACAAUACACUUUCUAUUUCUGAUUUGAAAUGAAUGCUGAAAUUCAUGAGGUCAACUGAAAUUAAAAGUGUAAGGAACAGUCCCAUGCUUAUUAGGAAUAUUCAAAGUGAUUCAAUACAUAAUCAAUUUUAUGUCUGUUAUACAUAAAAGUUCCGAUCAAAUUGUUACUCUAAUUAAUAACUUUUAGAAAUUGCAUCUACAAGACUACUGAAAUGCAAAACCAGUACUUGUAUUUUAGUCGUUCUAGAAAGAGGAUUUCAGAAGUGGUUUGUUAUGGCUUAUAUCUAGAUGUCCCCCCCAAGCCUCAUGUAAUUAUAGGUGGGCCUUUUUGGAGGUGGCUGGAUCUAGGGUGUGUGAUAUUGGGAGUAAGGAUGUGAUACUGGGUUUAAAUGUGUGAUGUUAUGAUUAAUGAAGGCCUAUCCUGGGUGUGGGUGGCACCACCCAAAAGGAGGGUAGCUUGGAAGGGAUAAAAAGGGGAGACAGGCUGCUUCUGCUGCUGCUGUUGCUUGCUACUAGAUGUCUUCUGCCUACCCUGCUUUGCCAUGGACUGUUUUUCCUCUGUCAUGCCACCCUAUUUUGGAGCCAACUAUCUAUGGACUGAAAUCUCUAAAAACUGUGAGCCAAAAUAAACCUUUCCUCCUUUAACUUUGGGUGGUGGGUAUUUUGUCUCAGCAAUGAGAAAAAUAGCUAACACAUAGUACAAAAUCACUGAUUGUGCCACCCUCUAUAAUGUUUAUUUACUCAGUAUUUUAUAAUUACUACAAAAUACCUCCCUUCUAACCAUUUUAGUUAAUUGUUAUCAGAUGAAUAUGUGCAAUGAAAUUGGAAAAUUUACCCUUGAACAUGAAUAGUCAAAUAUCACAGAAGAAAGCUCAUAAGGAAAACUUAAGUUAAUAAAAGAUCCAGAGUGAGAAAAUAUCUUGAUUUUUAGAUCAUCUUUAAAGAACCGCAUUAUUGUUCAUCAGGCAGAAAUAACAAAGUCUGAAUAGAAGUUUCAAUGGUCUCUCUAUACUCUUGAACCAUUCUAUAAUUCGAAAGUUGUGUAAAAAUUACCUUCAUUGCAAGAUCUAGGACAUUUUUGUCAAUAUUCCAAAAAGUCAAAGACAUUUGGAUUGACUUCUCUAUUUUUUUUUCAACUUAAGAGUCACUCUUUUCUUUUUUCUUCACUGACCUGACCAACUUGUCUUGUGUUUCUGUUUUAAACCAGUGUAACUGGUUUAAGUCUGAGACAAGCCUCAGACUCCUCCCUCCAUAUGAAUAAAUGUGGCUUAUCAUUGUUCCACAUGUCCUGGGACUCACAUACAACCCACACUUUUCAAACCUCAUUUGAAUAUACAGUUUUAAAGUUAUGAAAAUGGCAUGUUUAUGAUUUUAUGGUGUAGUGUCAGUAUUUAACCAGGACCAGUCAUUUUCCUUUGUACUCCGUCCCAUUUUUAAAUUUAAAAUAUGGCCUUCUUUUAACCAUAAGUCCUAAUCCUCUGACAUAGGAUGGAACCAAGUCAAACAUAUAGGCUGAAAGAAAUUUCUCCUUGAAGGAAAACUUUCAAAAGUUUUUUAGAUUUUGUCCCCAGUUUCUUUCUUUUCUCUCACCACAAUGCUUUUAUUCCCUAUAAAUUCAGCAAAUAUCUUAAUUCCUUUUGUUCCCCUAAGUUUCCAAGUCCAUACGAACAAAGACUGUUUGGGACAAAAGCGCUUUCUCUAUGUCCCUCAAGCACAGGCUGCCAUCUGUGUAGCAGCUCCCAAGUGAUAUGCGUUGAGGAGAUAAGGAAGGGCUCAGUUUGUAAGGCUUUAUUCUUUCUAGACGAUAGAAGAAAACAGCAGGGAAUAAGACUGAGAAACUGACUCACGGAAUGUGGCUCAUCCUAUCAAGCUCUUUCUUUUAACAACCGCUUUUUUUUUUAGUUGAGGGUCAGCCACUUGUGUCACAAUGUGCAGUUUAUUCACUUAUGGUAAUCCUUUGCCUGAAUCAGAAGAAGAAAUUAAUCUUUUGGCUGAAGGAAAGAAAGUAAAGAUAGCUUUUGGAAAAUGAGACUUUAGGGGAGAGAAGUCCUAAGAAAAAAUAUCUAGUUGGGGGCUGUUGAGAGGCAGGAAGAUAGAGAGGUAAGCAACAGGAGAUAUCAAAAGGCAAAGCUGAAGUGCAACUGUCUUUCUGGAACCUUGGUGGUUACAACACUGCCAGGUCUGACCUACUGGAAACAACCAUCACCUCUAACAGAUAUGUGAGGUGCUGAAAACAGACUGCUUGGAAUGGAGUCUCAUCCCUACCACUUUAUACUCAUGCUAACCUCUCAAAGCUUUAGUUUUCUCAUCUGUAAAAAUAAGUGUAGGGGGAAUAAAGUGCAGUUUAUAAGCUGAUGAAAAUAAAUUAGAUAAGCCACAAAAAGCUUGGCACAGUGCUAGACACAAAGUAAAAGCUUCCUGUUCAACAUUGGCUUCCGCCAGCCAAGACCCAGAUUAACACUCACAAAUCUGCUGCUGCCUGAAGACCUGGCUCACAAGAGGAAAAAGCUCUCACAAUAAGAAACCAUGAAAAGGAGAGCAGUGGUUUCCCUUCAUCUCACCUAUCUACCUUACUCUCUCACACCAAUCUGCACUGUAAAGCACACUGGUGUCCUUUCAAACAUCCUCUGGAGUAUCAUUUGGAUGUUUUCCAGUAGUAUAAUUCAGAUGUCAUUUACUUGCCUGUAAAUUUUCUUGUCCUCUUUUUUCUUUUUCCCUCCCUUUCUCCCUUUCAGAUAGACAGCAUGGAAGACAUGAGACAAGUGGAAUUAUUUUUCUCAAUAUAGGUAGGGAUUCUUACUGCAAUUGUCUAAGGGAGCCUGGAAUGUAGCUCAGUGGUGUAGCACCUGCCUGGCAAGUGUGAGGCCCUGAGUUCUAUUCCUGGUACCAAAAAAAUUGUCUAAGGGAUGAUCCUACCAUAAGCUGCCCAAUUUAAUAAAAAGGAUUGUUCUCAUGUAUUGAUUCCACAUUGAUGCUGACAUAGCAUUAUCCAUUUUCUUUUCCCUUAACCCUGUAGAGGUGCCAGUUGAAAAUACUACAUUAAGAGUUCAUAUCGCAGAUCAGUCACAACCUCUGAAGGGUCAAAAAUGUAUCAAAUGCUAGGCAAUGCAUCAGAAAUGGCAAUGAGAGCAUUCAGGAACCUAGUUUUCUCUUUAUACACCCGUGUAUAAGCAGUUUCAGAAUUGCCUCUCCCACUUCCUCCUCUAGGCAGGCCUGUUCCUGUUGUAUCUUCUCUGAGUGCUCUUGGCAGGCUUCUGAGAAUGCCCAGCACUAAGGGCAAUGCCAGAUUAUUUUUAAAGUGUUGGUGAAAGCUGCCAAAGUCACCUCCCGGUCUGAAUGACUUUUUCAGAAGAGGCUAUCUGUGUUGGUGGGGACAAGCAUUCAUUCUGACACACACAGUCCCUCUCUCCCUGACUGGCUGUCUACCCUACUGUGAAAGGGUGUGCCCAGUGUUUUCAUAGUCAAAGAUUAAAUAAUUAGGUCCCUUCUGCAGGUGAAAGAAUGACAUGAAUAUUAUCUACUAUUUACUUUAUCGUGUCAAAUGUCCUUUUUCUUCAUUUCAAUAAAUAUAUGGUAUAAGUAUUUUUAUCCAGAACUAGCCUUGGUGACCCUUCCAGAGAAAUGUCAUCCUUUGUUGCAAACUUCUGAAACACUAGGAAAUGUCUAAAAGAGCCAAUACUGAUAGAACACAAACUGCUCCACUCUGCUAAGUGCUUUGCAGGCAUUAAUUUAUUUAUUCAUCACUACCCAUCAUUCCAGCUGAUGGAGCAGACACUGAAACUACCCCUGCUUUACAGAUGAGGGAAACGUAUGCAGAAGUGAAGUCAUUUUCAAAAGGCUUCACUGCUAGCUAAUAUGUAGGAGAGCUGGGAUUUUAACACAUCCUAAUUAGAUCCUACCUCUUAAUUCAUACAUCAUAUUGGUUCUUCAUACUCAAGCACUAAAUUGUUAUGAAACAAUCAUGUUUAAAAACAAUACACUGAAAGAUUAAUUUCAUUAAACUUUUCAACUGAGUGCCUAACAAUCAUUUGAUUAUGGAUCUUAAGACAGCUAAGAAAGUUGAAGUUUUGCAAAUGUAAUGAUUAACCCUUUAAAAAUGAAGUAGCCCAAACAUAAGGAGGGGCCCAUCUCCUUGCCCCUUCUGGAUUCUUUGGAAAACUAGAGAUUGGCUAAGGCUACUGUUCUCGCCUUCUAGGAACUAUACAUUUCAAUGUCUGUGACAAGAUAAAUGUUAAGAGCCAAUGAACAAUGAAGAAAGUGAAGCAACAGUGGGGUCAGAUGUUGUCACAAAAGGAGAAACACAGCAGGGACUAGGCUUGCCUCUCCUCUCACAGACCGAGUCACGACAACAUUCAGUACCUUUGUGAAGUUCCAUCGCUGGAUGAAGUGACGCGCCACAUCUCGAGCUGCCUUCCCGUGGACUACAGAGGCAAUGUCGUGCCAGGGCAUCCGGGGGGUAGAGUACCUGUCAAUGAAAUCUGC